rnacentral:pre_miRNA from 1 species
UUUUAUUUUACCUAUUUUUACUGUUAAAAACUAGCAUGAUUGACAGAAUAAUCGAACAGUGACAUGUGACAUGCCACGUGUAUGUCAUGCUGAUGUACAAGGAUCAUUUUUUAACAGUAAAAGUAUAUAAAAAUUUUAACA